AUUUGUCGUCUGUUCUAGCUGAAAUAUUGUCCAGCUGGGGCUUACAGCAGUUAAAUCA
rnacentral:ncRNA from 1 species